UGGGUGAUACAGAGGGCCGGCCGCUGGCAACAUCGGUCCAAUCCUUAAAGUCAUCCUCAGUUCGGACUGGGGUCUGCAACCCGACCCCACGAAGCUGGAUUCGCUAGUAAUCGCGCAUCAGCCAUGGCGCGGUGAAUACGUUCCCGGGCCUUGUACACACCGCCCGUCAAGCCAUGAAAGCCGGGGGGCGCCUGAAGUCCGUGACCGCGAGGGUCGGCCUAGGGUGAAACCGGUGAUUGGGGCUAAGUCGUAACAAGGUAAC
rnacentral:rRNA from 1 species